rnacentral:lncRNA from 1 species
GGGACACUUAAGUACAAGGUUUCCCAUUGCUAUUAAAGCUUCAGUCUUCAUAAAGGUUUUCUGAGCUUCUUAAUCUAAGCAGUUUAAUUUUAACCAACAAGACUAGUUCAGAGAAACCUGCGAGGCAGAGCACGAUCUCUCCCUCAACAUCCCCAACCUCUCCUCUGUAGAGGGGGCAUACAAAUUUCUAUGUAAAGUUGCAGGUAAGCUUUUGUCUCAAUCCCCCAGCUCCUCAUCCUUUCAACUGUUCUCACUAUACCUACAAGGGAGAAAUUCUCCUCUGAAACACCCAAGAUAGCUUCAAACUAUGUCUAACAGUGAGACUAUUUGGACAUAACUGAUAUACACUGAUUACUCAUAGCUCAACAGAGUCUUAAUAUGGACAGUAUGCUUCAGCAAAAUAAGUCAGUACAGUUUAUCUGAAACAAUAUUUUGUAUCAAAGCAGCAGCAUGUACUUACCAUGCUUUUGAUCCUGUUCCUGUGCACACAUUGAGCCCUGAACUCUUCUGCUUUUCCCAAGGACCAUCAUCAACUGAUAUCUCAUAAUAGGAGGCCCUAUGAAGCGAGAAUUUAAAACUGGGUUUGCAGGACUUAAAGUUCUCCCUGAAUAAGACAGAACACACAGCCUUAUCAGGCACAUAAAAAUUUAGAGGGGAUAUUUUCAAAUCUGGAUGACAAUUUCACAGGCUUUGUUGAGUACUUCCAAUUUGGUAGCCACUUUUCACUCAGUUUUAUAGCAGGUUUUAUAAUGGAAAAAAGCAAUCUGUAGCAUGAAGUUUUAGACAAUUUUCCUUGCAGGUACUUUUAAUAUUCAAUUCCAUGUGAAGAACUCUGUGGAUCAUUUGGCAAUGACUUUGCAUAAAAGCAGGGUUUGCUGUACUUAGAAAUGAAACUGCAAAUACAUUACCUUCCUUGUAUAAUUGUUGAACUACUGCAUAAACUGUGCUUAUGCUGUGACUGGGUCUCAAAAUUAUAUCAGGAAACACUAAGAGUAAACAAUAGCACAGCUUUAAGCUGAGUUCAUCACUUCAGUAAUUAAAAACCCACUGUGAUUAUUCACAAACAACUUUAGUUUUACAACAUUCAGCAGGUUUUUGAGUUUCUCUUCAAGACAAAUUCUUCCUAAAACUCAAGUGUUCAAGUCUUGGGGCACAAUCAUCAUUCUGCAUGGUAUUAUUGAUGUAUCAGAGGAUUCCUCAUCUUAGGCCUAUUACAACCAAUCUCUCUCCAUAAGCUUCAGAACUUCCAGGCAUAUUUAUGAACUACAGUUGUUGAUGCCUAAUAUAACUAGUAUAGUACAGUCCUCAGAUAGAUAACCCCUUGGAAACACAUCCCAUUCACUGUGUUCAGCAUGACUAAACUUCUUAAUAAAAGAAGUUUACUGAGCUUUUAGUGAUUGAUGUUUUGCUCUGGACAAACUAAAAAUACAAAACUUGUAAUACUUUCUUGUUUUCUUAACCGACAUUUGGAAGAUGCAUCUAGUGUUUUGUCUUUUUAUGCAGCAUUUCAGCCUUAAAAAUAAAAAUUUAUUUGAGCCUUAAAAAUGAGACCCAUCUGUAUGACAUCAUUAUUGAAGUCUUCAAAUCCAAUUAACACAAGAUCUAUUACUAAAGAUUUGUUCCUACAGGCAUUAUGUUCUUCAUUGCUUCUCAAAUAUACUGAACUAAGGAACACAAUGUAUUUAUGACAUUCAGAUGUAAAGGGCUACUGUAAAGUGUUGGAAAGCAGCUUUGUGGUCCUCUAUCGUUGUACAUUAAAUAAACCUUUUAGAAUCUUGAUAAAAUUGUAUUUGAUUAGUAGACAGCAAUAUAUGUAUCUGUUUGAGACUAAUUCCUUCUGCCAGUCUGUGGCUGCAGUCCAGAUGGAAGAUAAAGCACUCAUGGAACAUUUAUACUGUUUCCAGCAGCAAUCACAGUGUCCCAGGCACUGUACAAACACAAGAAGAUGUUACAAACUAAGGUUUAAAAAAAAAAAAAUACAGAGUUAAAAGGAUAUAAAAUACAAGUAAAAGUUUGGCCAAGUGCUGACUGAGGAUCAUGUUUUAACUCCUUCCUCACAGCCCCAAUCAUAUUCCCCACAUCCUUCUUGUUAUCGUUUGGCUAGCAGAAAUGCAUUUAUCUUCAGAAAGGCCAGUCAUGAAGGUAGAUUGCAUAAUGCAGUACCAUUAUGUGAUACAAACUGUCUUCUCAGAACAAGGACAUUUUCUUGACAGAACAAGGCUUCAGCCAAAUGCAGGGCUUCAGAGGUAGGGAAAGAAGUUCUUAUUAGUAUUUCAGUUUGGUCACACUAGGCUAAUGGAAAUAUAUUUAAGAAGUUCAGAAGAGUAGACAAUUAAAAGUCAUCUUUUGAAACCUUCAGUCCAUGGUAAAGACAGUAACUGAAAGUAUACGAUUAGGUAAUAGCUAGCCAAGAAAAUAACAGACAAGAAAAACAGAGGAGAGAAUGGCCAGACUGGAAAAUGGAAAAACAGAUGCUUACAACACUGCACUUUACACUUAAUCUCUGAAUACACAUUUCAUAACCAACAACAAUCCAGCCUCCUGGAUUUUAGACUGAUGGACUAGAGCAGAAACUUGACAGCAAAGACAUUAUCAGUGAUUGCCCACUACAGCAUCAUGAAAAGAAAUGAAGUUGUGCCCUGCUGCAACAAAAAAAACAAUUAAGCAUACCUGGAUGAAAGAGAUUCCCCAAUGAAGACUUCAUUGAGUGCUCUCACUGGUAAAAGAUGUGGACCAGAAACAUCAGAUCCUGCAGAUAUUGAAGAGAACCAUGUUAAAUCGUGGUUCUAAAGCCACGAUUUUCAAAAACAACCCAUGAUUCAUUGGAAGACACGCUUUACUGCCCGUGUUUGCAUUUAGAUGUUGUUUCUCAGUGUCCAAUUUUCAUUUCAAGGACUCACUUUUUUCAUCAGUUUAGUCUGUACAUAGUUACAGUCCUUUAGUGGAAACAACAAGUAUUUGAACCAAGGUCAGUAAACCAAUGCCACACGUUUUCA